CCAGACUCCUACGGGAGGCAGCAGUGGGGAAUAUUGCACAAUGGGGGAAACCCUGAUGCAGCGACGCCGCGUGGGCGAUGAAGUAUUUCGGUAUGUAAAGCCCUAUCGGCAGGGAAGAAGAAAUGACGGGACCUGAAUAAGAAGCACCGGCUAAAUACGUGCCAGCAGCCGCGGGAAUACGUAGGGGGCGAGCGUUGUCCGGAAUCACUGGGCGUAAAGGGCGCGUAGGCGGUAAUAUAAGUCAGAUGUGAAAGGUGGGGGCUCAACCCCUAGAGUGCAACUGAUACUGUAUAACUUGAGUGUGAGAGAGGGAAGCGGAAUUCCUAGUGUAGCGGUGAAAUGCGUAGAUAUUAGGAGGAACACCAGUGGCGAAGGCGGCUUUCUGGCUCAUAACUGACGCUGAGGCGCGAAAGCGUGGGGAGCAAACAGGAUUAGAUACCCCCGUAU
rnacentral:rRNA from 1 species